AUUCUCUGUGUGUGCCCUUUUAUCACAUGAAGCAGACACAGAAGAGUCAUAAUCAGAGGUUUCAUUGCUUUCACAGGUAAUUUGGGGAUCAAAGAGGAAGUAAUCGUAUUUUCAGUGGCAUUUUGAAUCCUACGAUAAAACAGGGCUAAUAGCAAUUAAUAAACACUUUUUUAUAUUUGACAAUCGUCUUUUUUAAGUGCUUAUUUCAUAUGCAGCAAACAACGAAGAGUCGUAAUUAUAGGUUUUUCGUUGCUUUCUCGGGUAAUUUGGGGAUCCAAGAGGAAGUAAUCGUAUUUUGUAGUGGCAUUUUCAUCCAACUUUCCGUCUGAAGCUUCUACGAUAAAAUGUGACGAUGGCGCCACCCAAGAAAGUUUCCUCCACCCCCGGCCCCGCACCUCCUCUCACUUCUUCCGCCGGGAAGUAAUAAUGCGUCAGGAACCCAUCAAAUGACGAAUCAUCAUAAACGUGUUUGUUUUCCGACAAGAGCGUCAACGGUUCUAUCCUCUCGCAUCUCCCUUCCCCACCCGCCAUCGACAUUGAACCCACCAUCGUAGUCUUCGUGGCUACCAUCAUCCUCCCGGGCCGUACCUCCUCCGGUGCUAUUAGAACCUAGUGGACAUACCUAGCUACCGUAGCCUGAAUCUGUGAUGGGGUGAGGUCUCUGACCGAGGAAAUAUCCAGAGGUGUAGUUUUACAACGAGUAUUUCAGUGGCAUUUUCAACGGGCUAUAGCUUCUUGAAAUUUUCCUUCCUCAAACCACAACGUAAGAUUUACGCAACAGAAAUGUAUAAGAAGAUGGAAGAAAAUCUAAAAGAUGAUGAUCUAUGUGUGGAUGACAAUUAUGAAGAGAUAAGUGAGGAAGACCUUGCAAGACUCGAACUUGAGUUGUAAGAGGCACUUGGGGAUGAUGAUGAGUUUUCAGGAAUUCUUAACUCAAUUGAAGAUAGUACAGAAAAUGAUGUUGAGGGGGAAGAAGGAGAAGAAGAGGAAUCAUUAAAGCGUAAAAAUUGCCACUUAGACGGUUGGCUUAUGCUUUAAAGGCUGGUUACUUGGUUUCUGCUGAGGUGUGGUCUCGCUUUUUUACUGCUGUGGGUAUCUCCUGGGCUAUGCCGAAGUCUGUUAAAGAGCUCUUAUGUUGUUGGAAGAUUAGGGGUCUGAAGGAAAAAGGAAAGUUGGUGUGGAAGACGAUCCCAGCAGCUGUACUCUGGUCCAUUUGGACUGAAAGGAAUAACAGAAUAUUCUGUAACAAAAAGUAAAGUCCAGAUGAAAUUGUGCAGUAUGCAGUCAGUAAAUUGGUUUCUUGGGUUGCUGUUAAUCUAGUAUUUAACCAUGUAAAUGUAUUCCAGCAACUCAGGACUCAAUCCUUUGGUGUCUGUAGCUCUUGUUGUUUUCUGGCCAGUCCCUUUGUGGACUGACUAUGUCUGUAGCUUCUUUCAAUAUUCAAUAAAAUUACUUUACCUUUUUAAAAAAAAGGUAAUAAUUCAUAAAUCACUUGUCCUUUGUUAUGUGGACAAACUC